AAUCAACGCUGGCGGCGCGCCUAACACAUGCAAGUCGAACGAGAAAGUGGAGCAAUCCAUGAGUAUAGUGGCGUACGGGUGAGUAACACGUGGGUAAUCUACCUCUUAGUGGGGAAUAACCCUGGGAAACCGGGGCUAAUACCGCAUAAGCUCGAGAGAGGAAAGCAGCAAUGCGCUGAGAGAGGAGCCCGCGGCCGAUUAGCUUGUUGGCAGGGUAAAAGCCUACCAAGGCAGAGAUCGGUAGCCGGCCUGAGAGGGCACACGGCCACACUGGCACUGAAACACGGGCCAGACUCCUACGGGAGGCAGCAGUGGGGAAUCUUGCACAAUGGGGGAAACCCUGAUGCAGCGACGCCGCGUGAGCGACGAAGCCCUUCGGGGUGUAAAGCUCUUUCGGCAGGGAAGAUUAUGACGGUACCUGCAGAAGCAGCUGCGGCUAACUACGUGCCAGCAGCCGCGGUAAUACGUAGGCAGCAAGCGUUGUUCGGAGUUACUGGGCGUAAAGGGUGUGUAGGCGGUUCUUUAAGUUUGGUGUGAAAUCUCCCGGCUCAACCGGGAGGGUGCGCCGAAUACUGAGGGACUAGAGUGCGGGAGAGGAAAGUGGAAUUCCUGGUGUAGCGGUGAAAUGCGUAGAUAUCAGGAGGAACACCGGUGGUGUAGACGGCUUUCUGGACCGUGACUGACGCUGAGACACGAAAGCGUGGGUAGCAAACAGGAUUAGAUACCCUGGUAGUCCACGCCCUAAACGAUGCAUAUUUGGUGUGGGUCAUUCAGUUGAUCCGUGCCGGAGCUAACGCGUUAAAUAUGCCGCCUGGGGAGUACAGUCGCAAGGCUG
rnacentral:rRNA from 1 species